AAGUGGCAGACCCCAUUAUUAUAAGAAGGAAGACUUAUUGGCAGAGUUGGAGAGGAUAGGGGUCCAUCCAAAUUUUGUUAUGAUAGCAUAUUGUUAUUUUUCUAAAAAUUCAUUAGCAACAAGGUCUUUUUUCCUUGUUCUGCGUGCAAGGCAUUUGGAAUGGUUGAUGAGGGUUAUGAAUGAUAAGUGAUCUAAAGCUAAAGGCUAUUUACA
rnacentral:misc_RNA from 1 species